rnacentral:rRNA from 1 species
UACAGAGGAUGCAAGCGUUAUCCGGAAUGAUUGGGCGUAAAGCGUCCGCAGGUGGCAGUUCAAGUCUGCUGUCAAAGACCGGGGCUUAACUUCGGAAAGGCAGUGGAAACUGAACAGCUAGAGUAUGGUAGGGGCAGAGGGAAUUCCUGGUGUAGCGGUGAAAUGCGUAGAUAUCGAGAGGAACACCUGCGGCGAAGGCGGGUUGCUGGGCUGAUACUGACGCUGAGACGCGAAAGCGUGGGGAGCGAACAGG